rnacentral:misc_RNA from 1 species
GAUGAAGAACGUAGCGAACUGCGAUAAGUAAUGUGAAUUGCAGAAUUCAGUGAAUCAUCGAGUCUUUGAACGCACAUUGCGCCCCCUGGCAUUCCGGGGGGCAUGCCUGUCCGAGCGUCAUUGCUGCCCUUCAAGCCCGGCUUGUGUGUUGGGUCGUCGUCCCCCCCGGGGGACGGGCCCGAAAGGCAGCGGCGGCACCGCGUCCGGUCCUGGAGCGUAUGGGGCUUUGUCACCCGCUCGAUUAGGGCCGGCCGGGCGCCAGCCGGCGUCUCCAACCUUCUAUUUUACCAGGUUGACCUCGGAUCAGGUAGGGAUACCCGCUGAACUUAAGCAUAUCAAUAAGCGGAGGA